rnacentral:rRNA from 1 species
CGUCAAAUCAUCAUGCCCUUAUGACCUGGGCUACACACGUGCUACAAUGGUUGGUACAACGAGUUGCGAGUCGGUGACGGCGAGCUAAUCUCUUAAAGCCAAUCUCAGUUCGGAUUGUAGGCUGCAACUCGCCUACAUGAAGUCGGAAUCGCUAGUAAUCGCGGAUCAGCACGCCGCGGUGAAUACGUUCCCGGGCCUU